AACGCACAUUGCGCCCCCUGGUAUUCCUAGGGGCAUGCCUAUUCGAGCGUCGUUUACACCCUCAAGCGCAAGCUUGGUGUUGGGGAUCGCCCCUCCCUCGCGGGAGGCGGCGGCCCUUGAAUCCAUCGGCGGUGCCGGUGCGGCCUGGAGCGCAGCAGCGAUGCAGCUCGUGGGUCCGCUCGACGCCUGCCGUGCAAGCGUGGUCUUCGCGGCCACACCUUCAAACGUCGACCUCGAAUUAGGUAGGGAUACCCGCUGAACUUAA
rnacentral:misc_RNA from 2 species